rnacentral:rRNA from 1 species
UACGGAGGGGGCCAGCGUUGUUCGGAAUCAUUGGGCGUAAAGGGCGCGUAGGCGGCCGACCAAGUCGGAGGUGAAAUCCCUCGGCUCAACUGAGGAAUUGCCUCCGAUACUGUUCGGCUUGAGUCCUGGAGAGGGUAGUGGAAUUCCCAGUGUAGCGGUGAAAUGCGUAGAGACUGGGAAGAACACCAGUGGCGAAGGCGGCUACCUGGACAGGUACUGACGCUGAAGCGCGAAAGCCAGGGGAGCAAACGGG